UGAGGAAUAUUGGUCAAUGGACGCAAGUCUGAACCAGCCAAGUAGCGUGCAGGAUGACGGCCCUAUGGGUUGUAAACUGCUUUUAUAUGGGGAUAAAGUGGGGAACGUGUUCCCUUUUGCAGGUACCAUAUGAAUAAGGACCGGCUAAUUCCGUGCCAGCAGCCGCGGUAAUACGGAAGGUUCGGGCGUUCUCCGGAUUGAUUGGGUUUAAAGGGAGCGUAGGCCGUUUGGUAAGCGUGUUGUGAAAUGUAGGAGCUCAACUUCUAGAUUGCAGCGCGAACUGUCAGACUUGAGUGCGCACAACGUAGGCGGAAUUCAUGGUGUAGCGGUGAAAUGCUUAGAUAUCAUGAAGAACUCCGAUUGCGAAGGCAGCUUACGGGAGCGCAACUGACGCUGAAGCUCGAAGGUGCGGGUAUCUAACAGG
rnacentral:rRNA from 1 species